rnacentral:rRNA from 1 species
GAGUUUGAUCAUGGCUCAGAUUGAACGCUGGCGGCAUGCCUUACACAUGCAAGUCGAACGGCAGCAUGAUCUAGCUUGCUAGAUUGAUGGCGAGUGGCGAACGGGUGAGUAAUACAUCGGAACGUGCCCUGUAGUGGGGGAUAACUAGUCGAAAGAUUAGCUAAUACCGCAUACGACCUGAGGGUGAAAGUGGGGGACCGCAAGGCCUCAUGCUAUAGGAGCGGCCGAUGUCUGAUUAGCUAGUUGGUGGGGUAAAGGCCCACCAAGGCGACGAUCAGUAGCUGGUCUGAGAGGACGAUCAGCCACACUGGGACUGAGACACGGCCCAGACUCCUACGGGAGGCAGCAGUGGGGAAUUUUGGACAAUGGGGGCAACCCUGAUCCAGCAAUGCCGCGUGUGUGAAGAAGG